AGUACAAAACUAGGCUCAACACAAAUGUGUGACUUUUUAAAAGUAUUUUUGAUGAAAAAGGACAUUUCACUGGCACACCCACAUGUGUUUUUGCGACUUCCUCAUCUUUGAGUCAACUCCUGAGGCUGAUUAAAAAAGCAGCACAAACUCUGAGGGAACUUCACUUCUCUGUUCAUCUCUCAUCCGUCUGCUCGAAAGACCGAAAGAAAACACUUCCUGCCUCACACGACUCACAAAGAUGGCUGCAGCUCUGACUCUCCUUUUCAUCGGCUGUCUGCUGCAAGAUGUCAUGUGUGGAGACCCUACAGAGAAGGUCAUUAUGCCAAAGGCUAUCGAGGCUCUGAGGGGAUCCUGUGUGACCAUACCCUGCUCCUUUGAAGUACGGAGAGAAUAUAAUGUCCAUUUAGAUCAAACAUGUGAAGCAUUGUGGAAAAACGAGGCAAAGACUGUUGUGUUUAACAGCCGUAAUCCACAAAGUUCUACAAUUAAAGGAAAUUUCACAGGAAACUUAACAAAUAAAGACUGCACAACAACUCUGAACAACAUGCAACCUGAAUA